AAAAAUUAUAAAACAAAUAUUAAUCAAAAAAAGCAAUAAACCUUAAAACCUAAUUAAGACGUCGUUUGCUCUUCUUCUUCCUCCUUGGUCUUGCAAAUUUGCAAUCGUGAAUCGUUCUUCCCUUCGACCUCAUCAAUCUCCAUCAAAGCAACAAUAUCAGAUUCAUCUUUCUCUUUUUUUCACUUUGCUCAGACUUGAGUUUUGAAUCAAUUCAGGUUUGUCAAUUGAUUUUUUAUAUGCGUUUAAACAUUAGACAAACAACUUUCUCUCUACGACUCUAUCUCUUCCUUGUACAGAAAGUCAUACUAACUAUUGAUUUGUUCAAUGAUUGCAGGAAGAUGACUUCGAAUCGAAUAAGACACUAGCCAGGAGGAGCAUCAAAAGUAAGAAAAAAGAAGAGACAAGAGAAAUUAACAAAAUCAAUGGAAAACUCGAUGUUGAGAAACUUGUGAAGAUGAAAUUGGUGAACAUGGUGAUGAACACGAGUGUGGAGAGAAAAAGAAUGAGAAUGCGAAUGAGAGUGAUAUGGAGAUUGAAACUGAGAUUGAGAGUGAUAAUGGGAAUGAUGAGAAACUUGAUUAUAAAAGCUUGAUGAAUGAGUUUGCAGGAAGAAAUGCAUUGAGAAUUGUUAGAUUUGAAGAA